rnacentral:rRNA from 1 species
UACGGAGGGUGCAAGCGUUGUCCGGAUUUAUUGGGUUUAAAGGGUGCGUAGGCGGCCCUGUAAGUCAGUGGUGAAACCCUUGGGCUUAACCCAAGGAGUGCCAUUGAUACUGCAGGGCUUGGGUCAUCUUUGGGCGGGCGGAAUGGAUGGUGUAGCGGUGAAAUGCAUAGAUAUCGGGAGGAACAUCAGUGGCGAAGGCGGCUACCUGGCCCAAUACUGACACUCAGGUGCGACAGCGUGGGGAGCAAACAGG